CUACAGCUCAGUCAGCAGAGCGUUAGACUUAUAAUCUUAGGGUUGUGGGUUCGAACCCCACUUUGAGUGAAAGA